UUUUAAUUGAAGGCUUGUAUGAAGGGUUGGACAAAAAAUAAGCUGUCUUUAUUUUUGUUUUUGAAUUUGUCUUUUAAGUGAAAAGACUUAAAUUAUUUUAAGGGACGAUAAGACCCUAUAAAUCUUUAUAUUAGUAUAUUUUUAUUUUAAUUUUUAAUGUAAGGUAAAAUAAAAAUAUGGAAUAUUGUAUUGGGGUGAUAAAAAUAAUUAAUAAACUGUUUUAAAAUAAAAACAAAGUUAUUUGGAAAAUGAUAGAUCCUUUUUAGAGAUUAGGAGUUUAAGUUACUUUAGGGAUAACAGCGUUAUUUUUUUUGAGAGUUCUAAUCGAAAAAAAAGUUUGCGACCUCGAUGUUGAAUUAAAAUUUCUUUAUGGUGUAGCUGCUAUGGGAGAGAGUCUGUUCGACUUUUAAAAUUUUACGUGAUCU
rnacentral:rRNA from 1 species